UACGUAGGGCGCAAGCGUUAUCCGGAAUUAUUGGGCGUAAAGAGCUCGUAGGCGGUUUGUCGCGUUGUUCGUGAAAACUCACAGCUUAACUGUGGGCGUGCGGGCGAUACGGGCAGACUGGAGUACUGCAGGGGAGACUGGAAUUCCUGGUGUAGCGGUGAAAUGCGCAGAUAUCAGGAGGAACACCGGUGGCGAAGGCGGGUCUCUGGGCAGUAACUGACGCUGAGGAACGAAAGCGUGGGUAGCAAACAGG
rnacentral:rRNA from 1 species